rnacentral:rRNA from 1 species
CAGCCGCCGCGGUAAUACGAAGGGUGCAAGCGUUAAUCGGAAUUACUGGGCGUAAAGAGCUCGUAGGCGGUUUGUCGCGUCUGCUGUGAAAACUGGAGGCUCAACCUCCAGCCUGCAGUGGGUACGGGCAGACUAGAGUGCGGUAGGGGAGAUUGGAAUUCCUGGUGUAGCGGUGGAAUGCGCAGAUAUCAGGAGGAACACCGAUGGCGAAGACAGAUCUCUGGGCCGUAACUGACGCUGAGGAGCGAAAGCGUGGGGAGCGAACAGGAUUAGAUACCCCGGUAGUCCCUGUCUCUUAUAC